UACCCAAUUUGUGAAGGCAGGAAAGUGGUUGUAAUUGUCAACUUCUCGCUCACGCCGACUGUUGAUUAUUUCUUGUAUAUCGCUGAAAUUUGAUACUUCAUGAUUUUUCCAGAUAUGGCGAGCACUUUUUGCGGAGUUGGUGCAGCUGACUUCUUUAACGUCUUUUUGUCGUACUGGAGCAUUGUGUUUACUCGGACCUUGGCUAUGUUGCCUUGGUUGGUUUACUACUUCGUUGUUCCUUUGUACUUCGUUGAAGUCGUUGUUAACUGCAGCACCUCUACUGCCCUCUUGAUGAGCUGUAACCUGGG
rnacentral:lncRNA from 1 species